rnacentral:rRNA from 7 species
GUCUUUUUGAAAUAAUUUAAAGUCUAAUCUGCCCACUGAUAAAAAUUAAAGGGCUGCAGUAUAAUGACUGUACAAAGGUAGCAUAAUCAAUAGUUUUUUAAUUGGAAACUUGUAUGAAAGAUUUGAUGAAAUAUAAACUGUCUCUAUUUUAUAAAUUGAAUUUUAUUUUUUAGUAAAAAAGCUAAAAUAAAUUUAAAAGACGAGAAGACCCUAUAGAGUUUUAUAUUUAAUUUUAUUUGAAAAUUAUAUAAAAAUUAUUAUUUAAAUAAAAUUAAUUAUUAUGUUGGGGUGACAGAAAAAUUAAAUUAACUUUUUUUAAAAAUUAAACAUAAAUAAGUGAUUAUAUGAUCCAUAAAUAAUGAUUAUAAGAAAAAAUUACCUUAGGGAUAACAGCGUAAUAUUUUUUUUUAGUUCAAAUAAAAAAGAAAGUUUGCGACCUCGAUGUUGGAUUAAGAUAAAAUUUAAAUGCAAAAGUUUAAAAUUUUUGAUCUGUUCGAUCAUUAAAAUCUUACA